CUUGCUCUAUUUGUCUCCUUAGGUCUGUCAAAACAGCAAUACAUUAACAUUAGAAAAUCAGCACAAGAAGAACAUUGUAACAUUUAUCCGUCCUAAUAUCAGAUCCAGCAAGCGAAACAAGAAUGUUUCCCUCCAAAGUGUUCAAUAAUGGUCACUGACACAUUCGCAAAAAUAACUCUUCAAUCUUUACUGGAUACUACCGCAAGAAGAAUUUUGAAUAUUUCAGAUUACCGUAAUAAAAUUGAAGGCAAUAGCGAGCUUACGCUCUUUGGAAAAUGUGGUUUUGAUGGUGCAUCAGGACAAAGCGUGUAUAAACAAACCUUUGAUACGAUGAAACGAUGAAUGUCGAUGACUCUAGUAUUUUUAUUUCAGCUUACGUUCCAUUAAGACUAGUUCAUUCCAAUGACUGUACAAAGGUUAUAUGGGAAAAUCCAAAACCAUCAUCAACAUUUUAUUGCAGACCGCUUUGCUUUCAAUUUGUAAAAGAAUUCAAGGAAAUUAUUUUACAGUGUUCGGAGUCCUUGAAUGAAGAAAAAAGCCAUGCUUACCACAACAUUUUUUUCUGGUGGUGUUUCUAUCAAACAUGAAAUUUUUACAACCAUGAUUGAUGGAAAAAUUUGUUCGUGUUUAGCGGGCGCGUCAACAAUGGUCUGUUACAUAUGCGGAGCAAAGCCUAGUAAAAUGAACAAUAUGAAGGUCAUCGAGAAAAAAAUUCCGAAUGAGGACAAGUACGCUUUGGGGCUUUCUACUCUUCACUCUUGGAUCAGAGCUUUAGAAUGUGUGCUCCACAUAUCCUACAAUUUAGAUUUAAAAAAAUGGUCUGCAAAAACUUCCCAAGAAAAACAAUAAAAGGAAACAAGGAAAAAAGAAAUUCAAAAAAGGAGGAAAUGGGUCUACACGUGGAUUUUGUAAAGCAAAGGCUGGGAACGUCAAACGAUGGAAACACAGCAAGAAGAUUUUUUUUUAAUUUUGAAAAAUCUGCCGAUAUAACCGGCAUAGAUCAAACUUUAAUAAAAAACUUUUACAUUAUUCUACAAGUAUUAGCGUCUGGAGAAAAUAUCAUUCCAGAAAGAUUUGAUAAAUUUGCCAAGGAAACAGCUAAAUUAAAUACUAAUUAAUAGCUAAUUAGAUAAUAAUUAGCUACUAAUAAUAUGUAGAGUUGUAUGGAUGGUACUACAUACUGGCAUCUAUACACAAACUUCUCAUGCAUGGAGCCGACAUAAUAAGAAAUUUUAUAUUCCCUAUAGGCAACCUUUCAGAAGAAGCAGCAGAGGCGAGGAAUAAACAUUUUCGCCAUUACAGACAGUUCCACGCAAGAAAAAGUAGUAGGAUAUUUACAAACGAAGAUAUUUUACAUAAUCUAAUUCUCUCAUCAGAUCCAUUCAUAUCUACCAUAAGAUUAAAAUCUGAUAACAAAAAACUAACUAUCAUGACAGAAGAGGCUCUUUCCUUGAUUAAUUUGAAAACUAAAUUUAUUUACCUAGUUUUUUAUUAUUUGUUUGUUGUUUGUUGUUAUUGUUAUGUUAUGAGAAUAAUAGGUAUGGUAUACUUUGGGCAAAAAUGAAAAUUGUCUUUGUCAAUUCUCUCUAUUCUGAUUGAACAUCAAAACCAGUGAGUGAGUGCUAGUUAUUAAACUCUAUUGCUCUUGGAAGAAAUAAUAAAAUAUUAACUCUUCAUAUGUCAUG